UUAAACCUCGUUAUCAUUACCUGCCAAAUUGGAACGAUACAGACAAGAUUAGCAUGUCCGCUGCGCAAGGAUGACACGCAAAUUCCAUAUUUCAGACUUUCAAAACAUUU